CACCGUUUCACAGAUGAGGUGGUAUGCUUUGUAUCUUGGGCAGUUCCUUCUCUCCUCCAUACUCUGCUCUUGCCAUCACUCUGAUAUAAGUCAAUCUUUGUCUCAUCUGUCCACAAGACAUUUUUACAGAACUGUGGUUGCCCUUUUAAGUCAUUCUUGGCCAAUUCACUGUCCAUCUCUAUGUUUGCAGCAC